rnacentral:rRNA from 1 species
GACGAACGCUGGCGGCGUGCUUAACACAUGCAAGUCGAACGGAAAGGCCCUGCUUUUGUGGGGUGCUCGAGUGGCGAACGGGUGAGUAACACGUGAGUAACCUGCCCUUGACUUUGGGAUAACUUCAGGAAACUGGGGCUAAUACCGGAUAGGAGCUCCUGCUGCAUGGUGGGGGUUGGAAAGUUUCGGCGGUUGGGGAUGUACUCGCGGCUUAUCAGCUUGUUGGUGGGGUAGUGGCUUACCAAGGCUUUGACGGGUAGCCGGCCUGAGAGGGUGACCGGCCACAUUGGGACUGAGAUACGGCCCAGUCUCCUACGGGAGGCAGCAGUGGGGAAUAUUGCACAAUGGGCGGAAGCCUGAUGCAGAAACGCCGCGUGCGGGAUGACGGCCUUCGGGUUGUAAACCGCUUUCGCCUGUGACGAAGCGUGAGUGACGGUAAUGGGUAAAAAAGCACCGGCUAACUACGUG